ACUAAAUAUCAAACAUAUUC
rnacentral:miRNA from 1 species